rnacentral:rRNA from 1 species
CGCGCAGGCGGUUAUACAAGUAGGAUGUGAAAGCCUGGGGCUCAACCUCAGAACUGCAUUCUAAACUGUGUGACUAGAGUAUUGCAGGGGGAGACGGAAUUCCAGGUGUAGCGGUGGAAUGCGUAGAUAUCUGGAAGAACACCAAAGGCGAAGGCAGUCUCCUGGGCAAAUACUGACGCUCAUAUGCGAAAGCGUGGGUAGCAAACA